rnacentral:rRNA from 1 species
UACGGAGGAUGCGAGCGUUGUUCGGAAUCACUGGGCUUAAAGCGCAUGUAGGCGGGGUACCAGGUGCCUUGUGAAAGCCCUCGGCUCAACCGGGGAACUGCUUGGCAAACCGGUAUUCUUGAGGUAGGUAGAGGCGCGUGGAACCUUCGGUGGAGAGGUGAAAUUCGUAGAUAUCGAAGGGAACGCCGGUGGCGAAAGCGACGCGCUGGGCCGGUCCUGACGCUGAGAUGCGAAAGCGUAGGUAGCAAACGGG